GCAUGGUAACACAUACCUGUAUUUCCAGCUACCAAAGAUGCUAAAGCUGGAGCAUCUCUUGAGCUCAGGAGUUCUAAGCUACAGGAGGCUAUGCCAGCUGAGUGUCUGCCCUAAGAAUGACUUUAAUAUGCUGAGCCCCCAGGAUCAAGGGGACACCAGAUUGCCUCAGGAGGAACAAACCAGCCCAGGUCAGAAAGUAGAACAGCUAAAAGGACCUAUGCCAAUGAAAGGGGGAUAGGGCCCGCGAAUAGCCCCUGUACUUUUACUCUGGGCAAGAUAGGGAGAUUCAGUCUUU
rnacentral:SRP_RNA from 1 species